CUUGGCUUGCUCUUUUUGCUGCUUUUCUUCGAGAGCUCCAACUGCCUCUCCCUAGGGCAGCUUUGGCAACAUCAUCCGUGAGCACUUCCCGCGCUCUUUGUGGUUUCAUGGUUUCCUUGUUCAGGUAUCUAAGCUUAGGGAGUAAGCUACAAACUGCCUUGCGCAGCUGGUCAUCACUAAUGUUGCUGUGAACUGGAUUUCCCAAUAGGUUUAAUGCUUGCAAUGAGUUGUAGUUAGCAACAAGCUGGCCCAGUGCUUUUGUUGUUGUUAUCUUGUUGAAGCUCAGGUCUAAUACUGUCAACUUCAAAAGCCUAUGUAGCCCUUCGGCAUCAC
rnacentral:lncRNA from 1 species